GCCUGGGUAGCUCGGUCAGUUGAGCACCUGACUUCGGUUCAGGUCAUGACCUUGCAUUCAUGGGUUCGAGCCCAGCUUCGGGCU
rnacentral:tRNA from 1 species